UAAGAUGACACUAAGACUUUGG
rnacentral:miRNA from 1 species